UUGGUAACAAGGUUCCAAUUGACCACCCUUGGCUCCACAGCACUAAGAAGCUCAAGGAAGAACAUCCCUGUUGACAGACUCUUAUCCUUGAAGUUGUCGAUUUGAGAAGUUCUGCCUGUACUUUUAACCUUGCAGUUUGUCCAUUUUAGAAUAUCAGCAUCAGUUAUUUCCUUCCCUUGCGAGUGAGAUCUCAAGUUUUUCAGGAGUUGAAGCAUAUUAUAUCUCAUCNNNUAAGAAGGCAAGAAUGAGCUUCUUGUUUCCUUGUACAAUGUCGUUUCCACCUACAUUAACAAGGGAAAAUUUCAAUUGACUCCCAAUCUUUAUCACUUGAUUGCAGUUCUCUACUUUUCUGAACGGCAUCUUGAUUGGAGGCUUUGAUGCCUGUUUCCAGUUAACUGAUCCAGGAGAAAUUUUGUCAAGCACUUCUAAAAGUAACCAUCCAUUUCUAACAUCCUCAAAUACAUUGUUAACAUAAGU
rnacentral:misc_RNA from 1 species